rnacentral:rRNA from 1 species
UACGAAGGGGGCUAGCGUUGUUCGGAAUCACUGGGCGUAAAGCGCACGUAGGCGGAUUUUUAAGUCAGGGGUGAAAUCCCGAGGCUCAACCUCUGAACUGCCUUUGAUACUGGAGAUCUUGAGUCCGGAAGAGGUAAGUGGAACUGCGAGUGUAGAGGUGAAAUUCGUAGAUAUUCGCAAGAACACCAGUGGCGAAGGCGGCUUACUGGUCCGGAACUGACGCUGAGGUGCGAAAGCGUGGGGAGCAAACAGG